GACGAACGCUGGCGGCGUGCCUAAUACAUGCAAGUAGAACGCUGAAGGAGGAGCUUGCUUCUCUGGAUGAGUUGCGAACGGGUGAGUAACGCGUAGGUAACCUGCCUGGUAGCGGGGGAUAACUAUUGGAAACGAUAGCUAAUACCGCAUAAUAGCAGUUGUUGCAUGACAACUGUUUGAAAGGUGCAAUUGCACCACUACCAGAUGGACCUGCGUUGUAUUAGCUAGUUGGUGGGGUAACGGCUCACCAAGGCGACGAUACAUAGCCGACCUGAGAGGGGGAUCGCCCACACGGGGACUGAGACACGGCCAAGACUCCUACGGGAGGCAGCAGUGGGGAAUUUUCGGCAAGGGACGGAAGUCUGACCGAGCAACGCCGGGGGAGUGAAGAAGGUUUUCGGAUCGUAAAGCUCUGUUGUAAGAGAAGAACGAGUGUGAGAGGGGAAAGUUCACACUGUGACGGUAUUUUACCAAAAAGGGACGGCUAACUACGU
rnacentral:rRNA from 1 species